ACGAAGGUGGCAAGCGUUGUUCGGAAUUACUGGGCGUAAAGCGCGUGUAGGCGGCUCUUCAAGUCAGGCGUGAAAGCCCUGAGCUCAACUCAGGAACUGCGUUUGAUACUGUCGAGCUAGAGUGUGGAAGGGGCAAUCGGAAUUCCGUGUGUAGCGGUGAAAUGCGUAGAUAUACGGAGGAACACCAGAGGCGAAGGCGGAUUGCUGGGCCAACACUGACGCUGAGACGCGAAAGCCAGGGUAGCAAACGGGA
rnacentral:rRNA from 1 species